GCGCCUCCCUCUUAUCAAAAAAUUAGAAUUCCCUUCUACCUGCGCGCCUCCCUCUUGUCAAAGAAAUGAGAAAACCCUAAACACAGUUCGACGUUUGAGUGCCAUCCUUGUAGUGAAGAACAUUUGUUUCUUUCUCAGAUGAUUCUUGCGUAGAUAACUCAGGCCAUACCGCCAUUAGCAUUUCCGUUCCAUUCAUGGGCAUGGUCCCUUUGAAAGACGAAGUCAUACGAGUUUCUCCAUCAAUUGAAUCAAAGCAUAGAGAAAUUAGAAAACCCCACCAAUCCUAAGCGCUUCUACCAAUCGCCGUAUCGUUGGAAACGCUUAAACCCGUUGAUUUUGGUCCCAAGCUUCUACCAAUUGUCGUCAUGGUUUCAUGGGGGUUUCAUCAUUAGAGGUGAUUAUUAAGUUUUGGCUCUGAUGGGGUUUUGGGGAAAUUGAUUUUUUUUUUCAAGGGUUCAAGUUUGUUGCGUUGUCGACCCACUUCAAAGAACGGUAGAUUGCACUCAAGAAGGAGAUUUAUGCAGGAGGAAUCACAUACAAGGGUAUCCAUCUAUACGAAUCUUUCGUAAAGGAAGUGAUGUUAGCCAAAUAAUGCUUUAAGUGUUCCUAAUACACCUUUGGAUGCAAUUAGAGGAUCAUCUGGUGCUAGCAACCCUUAGUUUGCAUAUAAUGUAUUUUGGAUUUAAAGUUUAGUAUGAGGCUAAUUUGACAAUGUUAUGGAUUUUAUGUUGUACUUGGAUUUAUAAUAGAAGUUUGAAUUAUAAAUCUUUGAACUA